rnacentral:tRNA from 1 species
AAGGGUAUAGCUCGGUGGUAGAGCGCAUGUCUAGGAUGCACAAGGUCCUGGGUUCAAUCUCCAGUACCUUCA